GCAUAUCAAUAAGCGGAGGAAAAGAAAAUAACAAUGAUUCCCCUAGUAACUGCGAGUGAAGAGGGACAAGCUCAAAUUUUAAAUCUGUUAGGUUCAUACCUGACCGAGUUGUAAUUUGAAGAGGCGAUUUCCGCGUUUUUUGGUCAGUCCAAGUCCUUUGGGAUAAGGCAUCAUGGAGGGUGAGAAUCCCGUUCGGCUGAUCAAGAUUCGUUUACGAUCCGUCCUCAAAGAGUCAAGUUGUUUGGGAUUGCAGCUUAAAAUGGGAGGUAAAUUUCUCCUAAGGCUAAAUAUUGGCGAGAGACCGAUAGCGAACAAGUACCGUGAGGGAAAGAUGAAAAGAAUUUUGAAAAGAAAGUUAAAUAGUACGUGAAAUUGUUGAAAGGGAAACGAUUGAAGCCAGUCGUACCUACGGGUAAUCAACCUUUCGAGUGUGAUUAUGUGGAGUGUGAGGAGUUUAACCCCUCAUGCCUGCACAUUCGUGCUCUUUGGGUGUACUUUCUCGUGCGGUAGGUUAACAUCAAUUUCGGUGGUCAUAAAAUGACGGGAGGAAUGUAGCUUUGGUCUCGUGCCGAAGUGUUAUAGACUCUGGUAGAUGUGACGAUCGGGAUUGAGGAUUGCAACGGAUACCCCUCGGGGCUACCCGUCUGAUCUCUGAAGGUUACUCUGGUGCUGAAAGCUUGCUUAUGGUAUCAAAGUUAUCCGUCAACAGGUUAGAACGUGGUUAAAUUCGUUAAGGAUGUUGACGUA
rnacentral:rRNA from 1 species